AGACGAUCUGAGUGGGACUUGAAUUUUGUUUGGGAAACGAUAAAAAGUUGAGAAGUCUCUCAGCAUAAUUCAUGAGAAGGCAGAUCAUUUUUGUGAGCCUCAGGAGCUGAAACAGGUGAAAAGGUCGCCCGAGGGCAACAAGUGGGCCCGACGGCCGCAUGAACUGGACGAAAUGGGUGUCAAAAGGUUGUCUAUCUAAUAUAACAGCGAUUAAAUUUCCUCCCGCAAAUUAUCCUCCACAACCUUUUAGUGUCAGUCGUCCCCGUGGCCGACUGGGACGCUUUCUGCACGACUUCUCAGAAUUAGAAUUUGCGAUUGCAACCUGUGCAGCCCCCUCCUCCCCUCCCUCCCUCUGUGCGCUGCCUUUUUGAUUGAACAGCCCCCCGACUGGCAGGGAGUCGUGACAAAAAGCUGCACUGAUUUCUCGGACAGGUCGUUUGCAGCGGCGCUCGGGUCUUUGAGCGCGAUAAAUGGGAACUUCACAGUUAAUUUCCUCGACAGUUUCUGGGGCGACUCCGACAAGCCCGAGCAUUGAGAUUCUGACGGGGUAAACUCGCAGACUCUCUACUAAUAAUCUCCUCUCAUCCGCAGAUGUACGAGUUCCCCUCUGAUAAGGCCGCAGGAACAGGGAUCAAUAAAUCAAUCUGUUCAAUAAUUAGGGAGAUAAGAAGAGCGGCGAGGCAGAGAGAGUUUUAGUGCAUUCUCAAUGAAGUUUUUGUGACACGCUAUCAUCAAAAGUUUUCUCCAGAACUUCUUGGAUGCUUCAGUCCAUUUUAUUUUCCAACACAUUCUUGUAAAACCGACAUGUUUUUUUAAACUAACUUUGUGAUCAAAGUAAAUCCAAUAAGCUCAGUAAACUCUCAGGUGAUCUUUCAGAGCCUCUCAGCCAUAAAGUGGAUCAAAAUGUGAUUAAUAUUUGGAACCUGCUGCUGCAUUGCUCAUUAGCUCUCAGGUAUGCUGCCUGCCGCGCGGGCCUGCAGGCAGAAAUGAUGUGUAUCAUUACCAGUAAUGUCUGUGCUGAAGCUCUUGAAAUUCUAUCAUCCACGCUUUGUGUUUCUGCUGCAGUUAAAACAGAUCUGUAAGUGUCAGAUAGUUUUUUUUUUCUUAUAUGCCUUUUUAAUAAGCCGCAGCAAAGUUACAGAGCAUCCUUCAGCCUGAGGGGACACGCUUUGAUUCCAAUUACCACCUUUACACAAAAAGAGGAUUAUGUUUUUUUUUUCUUUUUUGGAAAACUACUCCAAAUCCAGGUAUCUUUUGAAGAAAAAGAAAUAUAUUUGAGUGCAGAAUGAAUUCACCGUGCCUCUGUAAAUAAAUUAAAAUUCGCCCUCAGCGAGCUCAUUGAAUCCAUCUCCAGUGGAGAGGUGUGGAUAUUGGAAAGAAAGCAGAACGGAUUUUUAUGAAAUUUCUGGAAGUUUGUGGAAGCCUGCUGAUACGUGUGGAAGUAUUUAUGCAACACAUAUGUACAAUCAAACGUAUUUGUAUGAUCGAAUGAGCAGAAAGAAACAAUCAGUAUCAACAUUUUUAUUUUUUAAAGCCCACAGAUCUGAUCUGUUGAUGUAGAGCGUCUCCCAUCGCCACCAGUGAGGAUAACUCAACAGCCGACUCUAUUUUUCAGUUUUCCAUGUGCGCUCACUGCCCUCUAGUGUCAGCAAACCCGAACAGUGAUGGAGUCAGUCUGGGCUUUCUGCAAGCUGCUUGGCGCCGAGGGUUGUGUUUUUUCGCUGUGCAAGCAAAUCCCUGCUGUAGCAAGAAAGCUUUGGCUAAACUGAGCACGGUCAUUGUUGUAAUCUUUGAGGCUGAGAGGAUUCUCCGCGUGAACCUUCACAUCCAGCCCUCUCAGAUGGAGACACUCUGUGGUGUGAAGUAUAAAUACUUUGGAAACCGGAAGUACCGCCCCUUUUCAUCCCCUCUCUGGCAGACUGACUUCCAGUCCGCUGACACGGCGUCAUG